rnacentral:rRNA from 1 species
UACGUAGGGUGCAAACGUUGUCCGGAAUUAUUGGGCGUAAAGAGCUCGUAGGCGGUUCGUCGCGUCGGCUGUGAAAACCUGAGGCUCAACCUCAGGCCUGCAGUCGAUACGGGCGGACUUGAGUACUGCAGGGGAGACUGGAAUUCCUGGUGUAGCGGUGAAAUGCGCAGAUAUCAGGAGGAACACCGGUGGCGAAGGCGGGUCUCUGGGCAGUAACUGACGCUGAGGAGCGAAAGCGUGGGGAGCGAACAGG